UACGUAGGGGGCAAGCGUUGUCCGGAAUCAUUGGGCGUAAAGAGCGUGUAGGCGGUCCGGUAAGUCGGCUGUGAAAGUCCAGGGCUCAACCCUGGGAUGCCGGUCGAUACUGCCGGACUAGAGUUCGGAAGAGGCGAGUGGAAUUCCCGGUGUAGCGGUGAAAUGCGCAGAUAUCGGGAGGAACACCUAUGGCGAAGGCAGCUCGCUGGGACGUUACUGACGCUGAGACGCGAAGGCGUGGGGAGCAAACAGG
rnacentral:rRNA from 1 species